rnacentral:lncRNA from 1 species
UUAUUUAUAACUUAUUGGACAGUUUUUUCAUACUUUUCAUUCUGGAUUACAAAAAAAAUGACCAGAAAAACCUUAAAUGAUCGUCGAUUUUCCCAAAAGUUUUGAAGUUGCACAUAGGAAGUAGAGCACAUUAGGAAUCCUUAUGUAGUUUAUUAUCCCCUGAGCUUUUGGCUAAGAUGUCAAAGAACAAAUGUAUGAAAUAUUUAAUCGCCGAAAAUCUCUAAAGACAAGUAGUUAAGAUUUCCCAAAUUGCAAAAGUCGUAGGAAUAUUGUUUGUCGUCAAUACGUAGUCAACUACGUAUAUAUACGUCAGUAGUCUAUUAUAUAAGUUCAACUGAUCACGCUGUUGGCGGCAAUUUUGAAUUAGAAGACGAAAUUUUCGUAUCUUUUCAAUUUGGACGCAGGGGUUCAAAUUAGCGGUGGUCCGAGGUCUGCGACCUUCCACUUUUGCAGUCGGACUUUCUACUUGGUUACUAGCUACGCCCGACGGACCUUGAAAGAAAAUAAAAAAAUAACUUUGCAAACAUUUUUACCGAAGUUUCCUAAUAAACGAUCUCAAACUUAUUUUCAUCAUUACCAUUCAUGACAGCGAUGUUCAAUUUGUUCAACCGCUAGCUUUAUACAGAAAAUCGCCGAUAAAUAAUGUGUGUAAAUCCGAGUAAAAUCGUAUCUCACAUCUGUCAAAAACAACAUUGAAAACAAAAUGGCUG